ACGGGCUCAUUUGACUACGCAUAGUACUGUAUUAGAGGUAAAAAAAAAAUUAUAUAAAUACUGUUCGGCUUCUCGCACAAACCGAUCGUUUCGUUUCUUAGGAUAUCAAUGUGUCGUCACGAGCGGCAGGGUUUAAUUUGGAUUUGUCUGUGCAUGUUUUUACUGUCUGAGAUUUUGUUACUAUUCACAUGCAUACAGACUGAAACGGUUGGAGUUUCUACAUUUGUGUUGUACUGAAGAAACAAAAUCACAUACAUCUUGGAUGGCCUCGGGGUAAGCUGAUAAAUACAAAAAAUUCAUUUUAAGAUGAAUCCCGUACGUUGGCGGCUGUUUUAAACUGGGUGCUCGGCUCCGACCCUUUUGCCAGUAUGAAGCCGAUUUCAACGGUAACUGCAGAAAGCGUCAGCACGCUUAGCUCAUCACUGGAGUAACGUCUGUACAACGGGUGAGAUAAAACUCAACGCCUGACUGAAUCAUCCAUUCCCUUUUCGAUCCUACGCCAUACGUUAAACUUGAGGUAAUCUUGCUUUUGCUGUUCUAAAAUAAACACUGCUCUUAGCACACCACCCAUACAUGGCACACAAAACAGGUCUUGUGAGGGGGCUGUGCCCACAGGUAGAAAUUCUGUAGGUCCACGGGCUUCUCCCCUUUCAGCGAACAUCACAGCGCUUAGUCCACCAUCGUGGUCUCCAAUCUCCAUUACCAACAGCCUGAGUGCUACACCUACAGACACCCCAACCCAUGCAGCAGCUGGCAGAAGUCAGACAUCAGGCCAAACUGGAUUUCAACACACCCCACCCUUACAUGGCACACAAGUAUAUGACACACAACACAGGUCUUCUCAGGAGGCUGUGCCUACAGCAAUAGGCUUUAUGCCCAGCUGCACUACUUCCUGAACUUCAGCCAGCUCCUUGUUUCCUGUCUGCCAUUAUUGGACAAACUGAUUAAUCCAGGUGUGCCUGAGCUUAGUAGUCACAACAACAAUAAUCAGACACACCUGGAUUUAUCAGUUUGUCCAGUAAUGGCAGACAGGAAACAAGGAGCUUAAAGCCUAUUGCUAAGGAGAUCCUCAUCCAGCUCGAUUUUAUUAGAGAGCAGCAGUUGCAGACUUCACCCCAGACCCAACACAUUUUGGGCUCCCACUUUCAACUAUUGAGGAGCUACAAUGUUUGUAGGAGACAUUAAAUAAUCCAGAUGAGAAGAAGAAUUUGGUGAGACUGUUUUUCCUGGAAUGGUCGGAGACAAGACUCUUAAAGACACCGUGGGGUGGGUCCUGAAAAAAACUAUGAACUCUUCGUGGUGAGACUCAUCAAUUGAAGUGGGGUCAACUGAACGCCUGCAUUCAAAGGGCUCACUUUGAAAAGUGUGGUUUUGGAUGCAGUCCGCCGGAAUGCCCUGACCAAAGAUAACACAGAAAAGGAGAUAGAGCUCCUCAUCACCAGGUGGUCGGUGCUAGCAUAUGACAGGGAUGGUGGCCGAAUCCAGACAAUAGACAGACAAUGAAUUAAAAUGUUUUAAAUUUAAAAAUGUUGAUUUUUGGAAAAUUUGUAUUUGAACUGAUUGUGUGUGUGUGUGCACCUGGUAAUUAUCACGUUGUGUCCCCACAAAGAUAGGAAUACCAGUAUUUUUGUGACCUUGUGUCCCCAUGAGGAAACAAGCUUAUAAAUCAAACAAAAUGAUGUUUCUUGUAAAUGUGAAGUAGGAGAAGGGUUUCUGUGAUGGUUGGGUUUAGGGAAUGGGGUAGGUAAGGGGAAUAAAAUAUACAGUUUGUAUGGUAUAAAAUGCAUUACGUCUAUGGAAUGUCCCCACAAAACAUGGAAACCUGUUUGUGUGUACGAGAGAGAAAGAAUGUGUGUUCAAGUGAAUAAAAAAUGCAUUAAACGUGAAAUCCUUGUUCUUCCUUGUGUGUUUUAUUUUCAGUUAAUGUUGCAUAAUGGUUGCUUAGCAAUUUUAGUAUUAACCAAUCAAUAAAAUCAAUAAAUUAAA